GUGCACAAUAUGGCACAACUUUAUCGAAUACAGUGAACUCGUUCAUAAAACACAAAUGCUGAGAAAUUGCUGAUGGGUACGAAUCACGAGGAUCCAUCGGACGGCAGCAGCAAUGUCCUCCGGGAAGGACGUCCGUACCACUACUUUUAUAACAAGUCUUGGUAAUUUUUGUAUCACUUAUUUCUAUAUUACCAAAAAUUACUAGACCUACCUACUAUUCUAUACAAGUGAUGAAAUGCAUAAUGGUCAAAGGCCACUUUCAUCAAUUUGCUGAAAUUAACUAAGAAUGUUAUAUGCACCACUUGACUUUGCUACACUUUGGCUUCAAAACAAUAAAUUAUUGAUCAAAUAUUAUUUAUUUUUUGCUUUCCCCAGUUCCAUUUUAAAGGGGAUUUGAGACGAUGCCCCUUAUUUAGAAACCUCAGGACAUUGAUACUCAAUGAGUGGAUUGUUUCUACUAAUCUGCAAGGACUUCGUUGCAUUCUUCACAACUCACCAGUAUUGGAGGAGCUCAAUCUUCUACUUUGUGAGGUCGCUGAAUUUCAAUCAACUGGAGGCCAUAAUCAAAUGGAAAAUCUCCUCGUAAUGGAGCGCCUCGAUAAAGUCAAUGUCAGAUGUCAAAAGUUGAAUAAGUGGGUUGUAACAAUAAUAAAAACCUUGAUUUCUUUUGGUAUAUCUCAUGAGAAAUUUAUUGUUGAAGAGAUUCGGUGACUUCAAAGUGUCAUUCGGCUAUUGGAAACACUAGAGUCAGAAGCUGGUCUUGUUCAUGGUGUGGUGAACAAUCAGAAGAGUUGUCCUGCGGAAGAUCAAGUCGAUGAGGCCAAUCCUGUGGCUGUCUUAUCAACAUAUAUUCGUGUUUUGUUUGUCAUUGAUGUAGGAUUGUGUUUUUUAAUGCUGGAUUUGGCAUGGGUCACUAUAUAUAGUGACGGAUUGCUAUCUUUUGAACCUUCUCUGUUGGAUUUACUAGAUGAUGAUGGGUUGUCAUCUUUGAAUGAAAUUCUUGUUUGCAUCGAA